AAGUUAUCGGUGAAGCUCGAACAAGCUUCGAAGUUUAAAAAUAAAGUGUUUCUCCUAUCCGAGAUAAAUCAUAUUACAUGGCGACCGUGACGUGGAGCCUGAAUCUAAAAAAUUGAAGUGAGUGAGCGUAAUAGGAGUGAGUGCCAUAACGAUCAUAGAAACAAAAAAAAAAAAAGGACAGCUACAGUCCAGCAAAAGUGAGAGAUUUAAUCGUGAGUUGGAUUAUUACUUCGGACACCAACAAA